rnacentral:lncRNA from 1 species
CAAUUUCUUUACUAGAUCAACUCAGGGUAAGUACUGGCUUACAAAUAAACAUUUUGUAGUAUUUUGGUAAUAGCAAAAUUAUGUUGAUAGGGAGGACAAGAUGAUGGCAGCGUGUGCAGAUGCAGCAGCUCAGCUCUCCCUCAGUUUUCAAAGCACAUUCACCGGUCUCAGUUUACUUUUCACCAGAGACCACAGCACAGCUUUCGCAUUUCACACUACUUCCACCCCCUCAGAGAUCCUAUGUCCCCCCAGAGCCCAUUGGAAGUAACCUAACAUUCAGAAUUGCCUUCCCACCAGCGAGGCAGUGCAGGCGGCAGAGGGAGAGGAACAGAAGCGAGGGGCGCGAGCCCAGGCCACGGGACGAGCUCGGCUACAGGCUGACCGGUACAGACCAGCACUUCUGAGCCUGUUCCUCUCCAUCCCAGAGAGGAAGUAAAGUACAGUCACUGGUCUGAAUGCAGUUUUCAAGGAUUUCAAACACAGAGAUACCAGUGCAAUGGACAAGUUAAUCUACACCUCUUUCUCAUUCUACCUCUUUACAGCACAUUGGCUCAGUGCGGAGAGUUGUUGGCCUCACAGAUCUAGUUCCUGUCAUGGCUGGUUCCAGAAGGAAGCGGCAGACCCAAGUGCAGAGUGGAAUUCAUGGUUUAUUCAGGAAAAUCCGAGAGACGUGGUCACAGGACAGGCAAUUGGUCUCCGAGGCGCGAACGUCGUAACAAGGACAACCCAAAAGGCAAGGUCGGUAAACAGGCAAGAGGUCGGGGAUCAUAAGGUGGUACAAGGACGAAGGAUCAGGGUUACGGGACAGGGAAAGGACUCAAGGAUCAGGGAGGAAUAGAGCACUAGUCAGGAGGUUGAACAAGGUUCCGUGUCAACUCCUGGUCUGACACUGCCUUUUAUGCCUCAGUCUGCGUCAUGCCCCAGGUGUUCCACGUUAGCUCGGCGGUGUGGGCGUUGCACUUCCAGCUAUAACUACUGUAUGUAAAGCUGACAUGUUCACAGCAGGUAAUAAAGGUCUUCGUCACACUCCA